rnacentral:rRNA from 1 species
GUAAUUUGUAGAGGAUGAUUUUGGUGCGGUAUCUUCCGAGUUCCUUGGAACAGGACGCCUUANAGGGUGAGAGCCCCGUACGGUUGAAUGCCUAGCCUCUGUAAAUCUCCUUCGACGAGUCGAGUAGUUUGGGAAUGCUGCUCUAAAUGGGAGGUAAAUUUCUUCUAAAGCUAAAUAUUGGCCAGAGACCGAUAGCGCACAAGUAGAGUGAUCGAAAGAUGAAAAGCACUUUGAAAAGAGGGUUAAAUAGCACGUGAAAUUGUUGAAAGGGAAGGAUUUGUGACCAGACUUUUUCUGGGCGGAUCAUCCGGGGUUCUCUCCGGUGCACUUUGCCCAGUAAAGGCCAGCAUCGAUUUUCGGCGGCGGAUAAAAGCAGUGGGAAUGUGGCUCCCUACGGGGAGUGUUAUAGCCCAUUGUAUAAUACGCUGCUGGGGAUCGAGGUACGCGCUUCUGCAAGGAUGCUGGCGUAAUGGUUAUCAAUCACCCGUCUUGAAACACGGACCAAGGAGUCGAACAUUUAUGCGAGUGUUUGGGUGUUAAACCCUCACGCGUAAUGAAAGUGAACGGAGGUGAGAGCCCGUACGG